UAAAAUUUGAGCGGGAAUUUAGAGUAGCGUUUCGCUUCUCUCAUUCAGUCAAAGGAAUGUUUGAUGGAGAACAGAUCGUUUAUAUUCGUGGCAUCUGGACUUCUCAACGAUAUCGUUGCUUAUUUGAAACAACAGUCAGAUUUGAAACUGAUUCGUAUUUUUCCAACAAUAUGAAAAAAAUCAUAGAGAAAAAGAAAAAAAGACACAGAAAAAUUUUUACAAGGUUUUUACAGAUUUGAGAAAUUUGCCAAGAAGAUGAAAUUAAGAAAACUCAGUAAACGUGAAGAGAAACACAACAUUGCAUUUAUUGUAGUGAUGGACGAAAGCCCAUUUCGAUUAUAAUAAUCGGUCUUGCCGGAACAAAAUUCUAUUUUUUUUUGUUUGUUUGUUGUUUGUACUGUUUUUUUUUUUUUCAUUUUAUGUGUGUGUGUGUGUGUAGUCAGACGGGGUCCCAGGUGACCGUUAUAAGAUAAGAAGCGUGUGACGUUGUAAGAAGAGUAAGCUUGCCAGGUGCCACGAAAACUAAAACGACCCAUGUACGGAUUUCUGAUAAUACUUGUUAAACAAAUCCUAACGAAGCCACACCUGGUCGGAUCUGGAUUUAGAUUCGUGUCGGUCUAAACUGGCCGAAUAGGUCUGAGGUAGAGAGGAAAAUGUCAGGUUUAAAAGAUGCAAUAUGCUUCUACAACAGUCAAGCUAGGAGGCAAAACAUGUAUCCAUUAGUAGGUA